UACGUAGGGUGCGAGCGUUGUCCGGAAUUACUGGGCGUAAAGAGCUUGUAGGUGGUUUGUCGCGUUGUUCGUGAAAUCUCACGGCUCAACUGUGAGCGUGCGGGCGAUACGGGCAGACUAGAGUACUGCAGGGGAGACUGGAAUUCCUGGUGUAGCGGGUGGAGUGCGCAGAUAUCAGGAGGAACACCGGUGGCGAAGGCGGGGUCUCUGGGCAGUAACUGACGCUGGAGAAGCGAAAGCGUGGGGAGCGAACAGG
rnacentral:rRNA from 1 species